UACGUAGGGGGCAAGCGUUGUCCGGAAUCAUUGGGCGUAAAGCGCGUGUAGGCGGUUCGGUAAGUCUGCUGUGAAAGUCCAGGGCUCAACCCUGGGAUGCCGGUGGAUACUGUCGGAUCUAGAGUACGGAAGAGGCGAGUGGAAUUCCCGGUGUAGCGGUGAAAUGCGCAGAUAUCGGGAGGAACACCAAUUGCGAAGGCAGCUCGCUGGGACGUUACUGACGCUGAGACGCGAAAGCGUGGGGAGCAAACAGG
rnacentral:rRNA from 1 species